UAUGGCCACACUACCCUCAAUGUGCCUGAUCUCAUCUGAUCUCAGAAGCUAAGCAAUAUUGGGCCUGGUUAGUACUUGGAUGGGUGAGUGACUGUAU
rnacentral:rRNA from 1 species